GACUGGUCCAAUAGUAGUGAGUUAUCAGAACUUACUAACAUUACUGUCACUAAAGUUAAUAUACCACCCUCCACUGCUAAAUUUGACUGACAUAA
rnacentral:Y_RNA from 1 species